GGAUUAGAGCCCUGCACUUGGUGUGUGAUUCCUCCUGGGACCUGAAGGAUGAAUUGUGGUCUUCAGUAAAACAGACACUCCCCUUCUCCUCUCAUGAAGACACUGUGAACACUCGGUGUGCUGUCCUGCACUCUGUCCUGCAGCAGAGACAAACAUUCAAACACCUGGGCCAAGCGCAGCUUUACCUUUGGACUCAGGAAGAUCUACUUGCUCUGAUUGAUGCACAUCACCGCAUAACCAAACACUGUAGUGACCCUACCGGAGCAUUGGAGUACAUAGCAGGUCGCCUGGUUUAUGGGAGCCACGUGUCAGACCAUGAAGAUCUAGCAGCUGUGCAGAGUGUGAUUAGGGCAUGUCUAAGAGAUCCGUCAACAUUAU